GACGAACGCUGGCGGCGUGCCUAAUACAUGCAAGUAGAACGCACAGUUUAUACCGUAGCUUGCUACACCAUAGACUGUGAGUUGCGAACGGGUGAGUAACGCGUAGGUAACCUGCCUGGUAGCGGGGGAUAACUAUUGGAAACGAUAGCUAAUACCGCAUAAUAUUAAUUAUUGCAUGAUAAUUAAUUGAAAGGUGCAAUUGCACCACUACCAGAUGGACCUGCGUUGUAUUAGCUAGUAGGUGAGGUAACGGCUCACCUAGGCGACGAUACAUAGCCGACCUGAGAGGGUGAUCGGCCACACUGGGACUGAGACACGGCCCAGACUCCUACGGGAGGCAGCAGUAGGGAAUCUUCGGCAAUGGACGAAAGUCUGACCGAGCAACGCCGCGUGAGUGAAGAAGGUUUUCGGAUCGUAAAGCUCUGUUGUAAGAGAAGAACGGGUGUGAGAG
rnacentral:rRNA from 1 species